GUGUCAGCCGCCGCGGUAAUACGUAUGGUGCGAACGUUGUUCGGAAUCACUGGGCAUAAAGAGCACGUAGGCGGUUGAGCAAGUCCAUUGUGAAAUCCCCCGGCCUAACCGAGGAACUGCAUUGGAUACUACUUGACUUGAGUGCAGGAGGGGAGAGUGGAAUUCCAGGUGGAGCGGUGAAAUGCGUAGAUAUCUGGAGGAACGCCGGCGGCGAAAGCGACUCUCUGGUCUGUAACUGACGCUGAGGUGCGAAAGCUAGGGGAGCAAACGGGAUUAGAUACCCUCGUAGUCC
rnacentral:rRNA from 1 species